GAUGAAGAACGCAGCGAAAUGCGAUAAGUAAUGUGAAUUGCAGAAUUCAGUGAAUCAUCGAAUCUUUGAACGCACAUUGCGCCCGCCAGUAUUCUGGCGGGCAUGCCUGUUCGAGCGUCAUUUCAACCAUCAAGCCCCCGGCUUGUGUUGGGGACCUGCGGCUGCCGCAGGCCCUGAAAAGCAGUGGCGGGCUCGCUGUCACACCGAGCGUAGUAGCAUACAUCUCGCUCUGGGCGUGCUGCGGGUUCCGGCCGUUAAACCACCUUCAUAACCCAAGGUUGACCUCGGAUCAGGUAGGAAGACCCGCUGAACUUAAGCAUAUCAAUAAGCGGAGGU
rnacentral:misc_RNA from 1 species